GGGGCUAUAGCUCAGUUGGUAGAGCGCUUGCAUGGCAUGCAAGAGGUCAGGAGUUCAAGUCUCCUUAGCUCCA
rnacentral:tRNA from 1 species